AACGAACGCUGGCGGCAUGCCUAACACAUGUAAGUCGAACGAGCCCUUCGGGUCUCGUGGCGCACGGGUGCGUAACGCGUGGGAACCUGCCCUUAGGUUCGGAAUAACUCCCCGAAAGGGGUGCUAAUACCGGAUAAUGUCUUCGGACCAAAGAUUUAUCGCCUUUGGAUGGGCCCGCGUUGGAUUAGCUAGUUGGUAGGGUAAAAGCCUACCAAGGCGACGAUCCAUAGCUGGUCUGAGAGGAUGAUCAGCCACACUGGGACUGAGACACGGCCCAGACUCCUACGGGAGGCAGCAGUGGGGAAUAUUGGACAAUGGGCGAAAGCCUGAUCCAGCAAUGCCGCGUGAGUGAUGAAGGCCUUAGGGUUGUAAGGCUCUUUUACCCGGGAUGAUAAUGACAGUACCGGGAGAAUAAGCUCCGGCUAACUCCGUG
rnacentral:rRNA from 1 species